rnacentral:tRNA from 1 species
CAUUGAGAAGCUAACUUAGCGUUAACCUUUUAAGUUAAAGAUAGGAGGAUCAAAGCCCCCCUCAAUGA